CCUACGGGGCGCAGCAGUGGGGAAUAUUGCACAAUGGGGGAAACCCUGAUGCAGCAACGCCGCGUGAAGGAAGACGGUUCUCGGAUUGUAAACUUCUGUUCUUAGUGAAGCAUAAUGACGGUAGCUAAGGAGCAAGCCACGGCUAACUACGUGCCAGCAGCCGCGGUAAUACGUAGGUGGCAAGCGUUGUCCGGAAUUACUGGGGGUAAAGGGAGCGCAGGCGGGAAGCCAAGUCAGCUGUGAAAACUACGGGGUUAACUUGUAGACUGCAGUUGAAACUGGUUUUCGUGAGUGAAGUAGAGGUUGGCGGAAUUCCGAGUGUAGCGGUGAAAUGCGUAGAUAUUCGGAGGAACACCGGUGGCGAAGGCGGCCAACUGGGCUUUAACUGACGCUGAGGCUCGAAAGUGUGGGGAGCAAACAGGAUUAGAUACCCCUGUAGUC
rnacentral:rRNA from 1 species